rnacentral:rRNA from 1 species
UACGUAGGGCGCAAGCGUUGUCCGGAAUUAUUGGGCGUAAAGAGCUCGUAGGCGGUUUGUCGCGUCUGCUGUGAAAACCUAAGGCUCAACCUUGGGCUUGCAGUGGGUACGGGCAGACUAGAGUGCGGUAGGGGUGACUGGAAUUCCUGGUGUAGCGGUGGAAUGCGCAGAUAUCAGGAGGAACACCGAUGGCGAAGGCAGCACUCUGGGACGGUACUGACGCUGAGACGCGAAAGCGUGGGGAGCAAACAGG